rfam:Zootermopsis nevadensis contig22888, whole genome shotgun sequence.
CGGUUAGAACGCUGGUCUUGUAAUCCUGGGGUCUCGGGUUCGAUUCCCGGCGGUGCCC